GAUGAACGCUGGCGGCGUGCCUAAUACAUGCAAGUCGAGCGAACGGACGAGAAGCUUGCUUCUCUGAUGUUGGCGGCGGACGGGUGAGUAACACGUGGAUAACCUACCUAUAAGACUGGGAUAACUUCGGGAAACCGGAGCUAAUACCGGAUAAUAUUUUGAACCGCAUGGUUCCAAAGUGAAAGACGGUCUUGCUGUCACUUAUAGAUGGAUCCGCGCUGCAUUAGCUAGUUGGUAAGGUAACGGCUUACCAAGGCAACGAUGCAUAGCCGACCUGAGAGGGUGAACGGCCACACGGGAACUGAGACACGGUCCAGACUCCUACGGGAGGCAGCAGUAGGGAAUCUUCCGCAAUGGGCGAAAGCCUGACGGAGCAACGCCGCGUGAGUGAUGAAGGUCUUCGGAUCGUAAAACUCUGUUAUUAGGGAAGAACAUAUGUGUAAGUAACUGUGAAGAUAUUGACGGUACCUAAUCAGAAAGCCACGGCUAACUACGUG
rnacentral:rRNA from 1 species